UUAGAGUUUGAUUCUGGCUCAGGAUGAACGCUAGCGGCAGGCUUAACACAUGCAAGUCGAGGGGCAGCAUGUCCAGCAAUGGAUGAUGGCGACCGGCGGAAGGGUGCGUAACGCGUGAGCAACAUGCCCUAUACAGGGAGAUACACCAGGGAAACUUGGUCUAAUAUCCCAUAGCAUUCAUUGAAGGCAUCUUUAAUGAAUUAAAGCUUCGGUGGUAUAGGAUUGGCUCGCGUGACAUUAGCCAGAUGGUGAGGUAACGGCUCACCAUAGCAAUGAUGUCUAGGGGUUUUGAGAGGAAGGCCCCCCACACUGGUACUGAGACACGGGCCAGACUCCUACGGGAGGCAGCAGUGAGGAAUAUUGGUCAAUGGACGGAAGUCUGAACCAGCCAUGUCGCGUGCAGGAUGACUGCCCUAUGGGUUGUAAACUGCUUUUGUAUGGGAAGAAAGUGGGGUACGUGUACCCCUUUGCCGGUACCAUACGAAUAAGGAUCGGCUAACUCCGUGCCAGCAGCCGCGGUAAUACGGAGGAUCCGAGCGUUAUCCGGAUUUAUUGGGUUUAAAGGGUGCGUAGGCUGGGGAUUAAGUCAGUGGUGAAAGUUUGCGGCUCAACCGUAAAAUUGCCGUUGAUACUGGUUCUCUUGAGUACAUUUGAGGCAGGCGGAAUGUGGUGUGUAGCGGUGAAAUGCAUAGAUAUACCACAGAACACCGAUUGCGAAGGCAGCUUGCUAAGAUGUGACUGACGCUGAAGCACGAAAGCAUGGGGAUCAAACAGGAUUAGAUACCCUGGUAGUCCAUGCUGUAAACGAUGAUCACUAGCUGUUUGCGAUAUAUAGUAAGCGGCACAGGGAAACUAUUAAGUGAUCCACCUGGGGAGUACGUUGGCAACAAUGAAACUCAAAGGAAUAGACGGGGGCCCGCACAAGCGGAGGAACAUGUGGUUUAAUUCGAUGAUACGCGAGGAACCUUACCUGGGUUUAAAUGGGGAGUGACAGGUUUAGAGAUAGAUCUUUCUUCGGACACUCUUCAAGGUGCUGCAUGGUUGUCGUCAGCUCGUGCCGUGAGGUGUCGGGUUAAGUCCCAUAACGAGCGCAACCCACGUUGUCAGUUACCAGCACGUAGUGGUGGGGAGUCUGACAAGACUGCCGGUGUAAACCGCGAGGAAGGUGUGGAUGACGUCAAAUCAGCACGGCCCUUACAUCCAGGGCUACACACGUGUUACAAUGGCCGGUACAGAGGGCAGCUACACUGCGAAGUGAUGUCAAUCCCAUAAAACCGGUCUCAGUUCGGAUCGGAGUGUGCAACUCGACUCCGUGAAGCUGGAUUCGCUAGUAAUCGCGCAUCAGCCAUGGCGCGGUGAAUAAGUUCCCGGGCCUCGUACUCACCGCC
rnacentral:rRNA from 1 species